GUUUUGUUCGGUGCGUUUGCGACAGGCGUCAUUUAAUUGUAGUCAAGCAUGGGCUUAAAGUGAAGAUGCAUUUAUGAAUACGGGGGUUCGUGUUGUGGCAC
rnacentral:lncRNA from 1 species